CCUACGGGUGGCUGCAGUGAGGAAUAUUGGUCAAUGGGGGCAACCCUGAACCAGCGACGCCGCGUGGGUGACGAAGGCCUUCGGGUCGUAAAGCCCUUUUCUGUGUGACGAGCAAGGACGGUAGCACAGGAAGAAGCCUCGGCUAACUACGUGCCAGCAGCCGCGGUAAAACGUAGGAGGCAAGCGUUAUCCGGAGUGACUGGGCGUAAAGCGUCUGUAGGUGGCUGAUUACGUCGGAUGUGAAAGCUCCUGGCUCAACUGGGAGAGUGCGUCGG
rnacentral:rRNA from 1 species